rnacentral:rRNA from 1 species
UACGUAGGGUGCAAGCGUUGUUCGGAAUUAUUGGGCGUAAAGAGCUUGUAGGCGGUUUGUCGCGUCUGCUGUGAAAUUUCGGGGCUCAACCCCGGACUUGCAGUGGGUACGGGCAGACUAGAGUGUGGUAGGGGAGACUGGAAUUCCUGGUGUAGCGGUGAAAUGCGCAGAUAUCAGGAGGAACACCGAUGGCGAAGGCAGGUCUCUGGGCCGCUACUGACGCUGAGAAGCGAAAGCAUGGGGAGCGAACAGG